CCUAUGACGUAUGAACAGCAUAAUAUAUGUACCAUGUCGUUAAGAAAUACUUUUUUGUUCGAGAGGGAACAUUGUUAAAUAUUCGAUAAUAAUGUGUCUCGAUCUAACAGUUCAACUUGAUAUUAGCAUUUGAAUCCACCAGAUGCUUAUGUAAUAUGAAUUUGUCCGAAACACACUCAAGACAAAAAAAUUGAGAAGGUGCGCGUAGGUCGUAAGCCAGUAACAAAAUUCUUAUGAUCAAAAAUACUUUCAACUUGAAAUAAUAAUCUGAUAAGCGUCAAAAAACAAUUAAAAUUUUUCAACAAUAUGCGAUACAUUUCGAUGAAUCGACUAUCAAUGAAAAAUGAUUAAAUUCUAAUGGUAACUGUGAUAACCUUGACAGUAAUUACCCAUACUGUGAAUAAAACACGAUAAAAUGCAGAAUCGAUAGUUCAGCUGACGAACAUAAUGAAUCCUCGUUUGGGAUAAACCAUAUUACAUCAAUUAUCGGAUUAUAGAAAGAUUUUGGUCCAGUAGAACCUUCCUCAAAGGCCAAUAUAUACAUCUGAAAACAGUUAAAGGUCCUUCAUCAAAUAAUCCAACCAUCAAGAGGGAAGCUUGGAUAUCUUUUCUCAUUCAUCCAGUCUUAAGAAUGAAUCACACUUUGAGAAAUAUUUUAUUUUGUAGAUAAGUGUGCUGUAAUACACCUAAUAAUUAAUUCAUCUGCCGUUUUCUAACAUACAACGACACAUUAUAUGUAUAGACUAAUGCCAAUAGAAAAAAAUUACCUUUAUGAAGAUAUAAAUGAAUUCAAAUAAGAUUACCCUGUAUCAGGGAUAGCAAUAAUUCAAAA